rnacentral:rRNA from 1 species
CCCUUAGAUGUCCGGGGCUGCACGCGCGCUACACUGAAGGAAUCAGCGUGCUAAAACCAUUGUCGAAAGGCAUUGGUAAACCCAUUAAAAUCCUACGUGAUUGGGAUCGGGAAUUGCAAUUAUUUCCCUUGAACGAGGAAUUCCCAGUAAGUGUGGGUCAUAAGCUCGCGUUGAUUACGUCCCUGCCCUUUGUACACACCGCCCGUCGCUGCCCGGGACUGAGCCGUUUCGAGAAAAGCGGGGACUGCUGCUGUCGGGGCUUUCGGGCCUUGGCUUCGGUGGCAACCGCUUUAAUCGCAGUGGCUUGAACCGGGCAAAAGUCGUAACA